UCAAUAUGCAACUUUAGUAUACAAUAGAGACUCACUAGACCAGAUUGAUUGCUCAGAUAUUCAAUUUACAGUAAAUGAUGAGCUGUUCUUAGAAACAUUAAUGACAGAAAUUAGGGGUUAAACAAUUUCCUUUGCAUCAUAUAAAAAAAAAGAAAAAAAGAAAUUGGAAAAUUCUUUAGUAAAUGAAAUUCAAAAAUUAGAAGAAAAUAUACAAACCACAGAAGCUCUUGAAGAUCUCAACCAAAAGAAAUCUGAAUUACAAAUUUUAAUACAAGAGAAAAUGCGUGGUCAUUAUGUACGCUCAAAAAUGCAAUUGGUAGAAGAAGGAGAAAGAUCCUCAAAAUAUUUUCUCAACUUACAAACUAAGAACUUUGUUAAUAAAACAAUUCCAAGACUAGUCAAUAAUGAAGGCUAUUUAAUAAACAAACAAGA
rnacentral:lncRNA from 1 species